rnacentral:tRNA from 1 species
CCGCCGGUAGCACAGUUGGAUAAUGCACCGGAUUCCGAUUCCGGGGAGCGGGGGUUCAAGUCCCUUCCGGCGGGCCA